rnacentral:ribozyme from 14 species
UUUUUUUUUUUUUUUUUUCGUGUGUGGGCUCCUCUUCCUCCUCCUCUCUCUUGUUGCAGUUGCUUGUAAUCAACAACAAAAAGCUGAGGAGCCGAAUCCGCUUCAUUCUACAACAACAAUCAAUCA